rnacentral:rRNA from 1 species
CGUCUAUAUACGUAUAGCAUAUCAAUAAGCGGAGGAAAAGAAACUAACAAGGAUUCCCCUAGUAACGGCGAGUGAAGCGGGAAGAGCUCAAAUUUGAAAUCUUCAAGGUUCUACCUUGACGAAUUGUAGUUUAAAGAAGUGUUUUCUGUUGGUGUUUUGGUAAAAGUUCUUUGGAAUAGGACAUCAUAGAGGGUGAGAAUCCCGUAUUUGACCAUUACUUCCAGCGUUGUGAUACACUUUCAAAGAGUCGGAUUGUUUGGGAAUGCAGUCCAAAAUGGGUGGUAAAUUUCAUCUAAAGCUAAAUACUGGCGAGAGACCGAUAGCGAACAAGUACCGUGAGGGAAAGAUGAAAAGAACUUUGAAAAGAGAGUUAAACUGUACGUGAAAUUGUCAAAAGGGAAGCGUUUGACACCAGUGUUGUUUUCUCGAAAAUCAAUUAAAAAUGGCUGGGAUGUUGUGUUGUAUUGACUUUAUCAGCUUUCUGCACUUUUUUCCUGUCUUUUUUAAUGCACUUUUCGUUUAACAAGUCAACAUCAAUUUCUUUUGUUGUAAAAGGGUCAUUGGAAGGUGGCUUUCUUUUCGGAGAAAGUGUUUAUAGCCUUUGACUUCUGCAAUCGGAGAGAUUGAGGUCUGCAGCGUAGAUCCUUCGGGGUUAGAUACAUUUGUGCUAAGUUAUAGCCUUUCAUAGACAACUUGUUGACUAUGAUCAGUCAUGUAGCUUACUCGCUUAUGCUAUUUUACCUACGCUUAGGAUGUUGAUCUGUAGUGCGUGCGC